rnacentral:rRNA from 1 species
GAUGGACGCUGGCGGCGUGUCUUAACACAUGCAAGUCGAACGAAGCAAUUAGAGUGCUUGCACUUUGAUUGACUGAGUGGCGGACGGGUGAGUAACGCGUGGGUAACCUGCCUCACACAGGGGGAUAACAGUUGGAAACGGCUGCUAAUACCGCAUAAGCGCACAGUAUCGCAUGAUACAGUGUGAAAAACUCCGGUGGUGUGAGAUGGACCCGCGUCUGAUUAGCUAGUUGGUGAGGUAACGGCUCACCAAGGCAACGAUCAGUAGCCGGCCUGAGAGGGUGAACGGCCACAUUGGGACUGAGACACGGCCCAA